rnacentral:piRNA from 1 species
UACACCCUCCCCUGCAGCAGGCAGACAGCUC